rnacentral:tRNA from 13 species
GCGAAGGUGGCGGAAUUGGUACGCUAGCUUCAGGUGUUAGUGUUCUUACGGACGUGGGGGUUCAAGUCCCCCCCCUCGCACCA